UACAGAGGUGGCGAGCGUUGUUCGGAUUUACUGGGCGUAAAGGGCGCGUAGGCCGUUGCGUGUGUCGAGUGUGAAAUCCCCGGGCUCAACCCGGGAAGUGCGCUCGAAACUGCGUGACUUGAGCAGAGGAGGGGAGAGCGGAAUUCAUGGUGUAGCGGUGAAAUGCGUUGAUAUCAUGAGGAACACCGGUGGCGAAGGCGGCUCUCUGGAAUCUUGCUGACGCUGAGGCGCGAAAGUCGGGGGAGCAAACAGG
rnacentral:rRNA from 1 species